GGUCGCUUAGCUCAAUGGUAGAGCGCUUCAUUCACAUUGAAGAGGUUAAUGGUUCAAAUCCAUUAGCGACCA
rfam:Microgenomates (Roizmanbacteria) bacterium GW2011_GWC2_34_23 TR56_C0015, whole genome shotgun sequence.